rnacentral:rRNA from 1 species
GAUGAACGCUAGCUAUAGGCUUAACACAUGCAAGUCGAGGGACCGGCGCACGGGUGAGUAACGCGUAUCCAACCUGCCCAUAACUAAGGGAUAACCCAGCGAAAGUUGGACUAAUACCUUAUGGUUAUGGAUGGGGAUGCGUCUGAUUAGCUUGUUGGCGGGGUAACGGCCAACCAAGGCAACGAUCAGUAGGGGUUCUGAGAGGCAGGCACACCACAUUGGAACUGAGGCCCGGUCCCAACUCCGACGGGACGAAGCAGUGAGGAAUAUUGGUCAAUGGACGCAAGUCUGAACCAGCCAAGUAGCGUGCAGGAUGAUGGCCUAUGGGUUGUAAACUGCUUGUAUAUGGGGAUAGGUACCAUAUGAAUAAGGACCGGCUAAUUCCGUGCCAGCAGCCGCGGUAAUUC